AGAGAGAGAGAGAGAGAGAGAGAGAGAGAGAACACGCAGAGGGAAGGAGGGAGGGCGGCUAAACCCUCAGCUUUACUGGGUUGAAAGCGCCUGAAUUUCAAGCAGAAAGUAGAAGGAGCCGCACACAGCCGCGCGUCUUUCCUUGGGCUGCGUGUGCAAAGCGUAGACAAUGAAAAUCUCUAACCCCUCCCCCAUCUUCGCUAGUCUACAACAUUUUUGUUUUCCCUCCUUCUUGACGAUGGAACAUGUGUAAAAACCAAAUGUACAGAGGUGCGCUGAUAUUUUUUAAAGCACAAACUGGCAGACGGAGCAGGCUGAGGUUCGGAUUACCCCCUAUGUGCACUGGGCUGAGUCUCUGCGCAAUACCGGCUCUGGGAGCUCUCUCCCUUCCUCGGACGUAGCAGGAUCCUGCCCUUCCCUCCUGGCCUCGGCCCUGUAAGGGACACGGUGAAGAGAGCCGCCGCCCACAGCCUCUGCCCGAGGUCCAGAGAGCUCCGCCCGGAGAGGUCACCUCCCCUCGCCCUUCCUCCCUCCGCCCCGCCAGGCUCCUCCACUUCCCGACUUGCCGCAGUCCGAGGAGGAGUGCGCCUCGGCUAUGGGGUCCUGAACCUAAAGCCCAGCUCCUCGCUCGCUCCCUCCCGGGCAGCCCUUUCUCUAGGCAGCAAAGCCCCAGCCAGACCAGAUGGGCUGCCCAGCUCUCCCGGGACUGGGCAGGUGCGGUUGAGUUAAUUUUUCCGCAUUACAGAGAAAGAUGACCCAGCCCGCUCUGGGAGUCUCAUCUUUUUUCCCAAAAUAUUCCCAGCAAGAUCGCAGUGGACAGGGCGACUGAGCACGCCCGUGGGUUUAUCUCGUGCGCAGUAGCGCAAGCUUGUUCUCGCUUUUAAGUGCUAAAUUCCCCCCCACCACCGAUGUCUGGGGAUUGUGGACAAAUGUAUCUGUGGCCACGCAACCUGCAGUGGCGGUCCUUAGACCGCUCCAUUCCCUACAAGUGUCUCAGAAAGGGGCUCGGGGAUAAGCAACCUGGUUAAUUGCCUGCAGUAAAAUAACACCAUUGCGAAAUUAGAUCUGUAGCUGAGGGGUAAUUAACUUCGAUCCACGCCAUCAUUUGAAAACUCGAUUUUUAGACGGCAUGCGCGUAUUUUAGGGGUGUGUGUGUGUGUGUGUGUGUGUGUUUGGCAUGCAGAUGUAUGCAUAUGUAUACACGCGCACACACGCGUCGUCUACACUUCCCUGGCGCAGACUAAUUAACUGCGGCUUGGGCAGAUGUGGCAGGAGGCAAGCUGAGGCAGGAGCCGGGCUUGUGAGCUAUGGCUCUGCGGUAGGGACUCCGUGGCCUGAGCCCCCGGGGCGGGUGAAGGGCAGGGAGCAGAGUGUGGUAGUUGCAGUGGGUCAGUUGCUUCCGGAUCAAGAUCAGAGACUCUGCCCUCCGUGUUCACAGCGGACCUUGAUUUAAUGUCAUACAAUUAAGGCACGCGGUGAAUGCCAAGAGCGGAGCCUAAGGCUGCACUUGAAGGACAUCAGAGCAUCUCGGGGUCAGAAAGCUGGGAAGAGAUUGCAGGCGGCAUGAAGGGUGGUAGAAGCAGCCCAGCCCAUGCCGUAUGGGGACCCUGCAUUGAUUGCUGAAGCCACCUAGCAAUUAAAAGGAGCCAAGCGGUUCGGCGAGAACCCCGGAAACCAGCAGGCAAAGCCCCAUGGGGGAUAUGAGGAGUGUCAUCGACAGCUGUCAGGAGAAGAGCAGUUCCUGUUGGUGCAAAUAUUCUAGAGAGUUCAAGCAGGUGUGAGAUUGCCCCCCCCCCCC